UACGAAGGGGGCUAGCGUUGCUCGGAAUCACUGGGCGUAAAGCGCACGUAGGCGGACUCUUAAGUCAGGGGUGAAAUCCUGGAGCUCAACUCCAGAACUGCCUUUGAUACUGGGAGUCUUGAGUUCGGGAGAGGUGAGUGGAACUGCGAGUGUAGAGGUGAAAUUCGUAGAUAUUCGCAAGAACACCAGUGGCGAAGGCGGCGAUCUGGGAAGAUACUGACGCUGAGGUGCGAAAGCGUGGGAGCAACAGG
rnacentral:rRNA from 1 species